AGUGAACGCUGGCGGUAGGCCUAACACAUGCAAGUCGAACGGCAGCACAGUAAGAGCUUGCUCUUACGGGUGGCGAGUGGCGGACGGGUGAGGAAUACAUCGGAAUCUACUUUUUUGUGGGGGAUAACGUAGGGAAACUUACGCUAAUACCGCAUACGACCUACGGGUGAAAGCAGGGGAUCUUCGGACCUUGCGCGAUUGAAUGAGCCGAUGUCGGAUUAGCUAGUUGGCGGGGUAAAGGCCCACCAAGGCGACGAUCCGUAGCUGGUCUGAGAGGAUGAUCAGCCACACUGGAACUGAGACACGGUCCAGACUCCUACGGGAGGCAGCAGUGGGGAAUAUUGGACAAUGGGCGCAAGCCUGAUCCAGCCAUACCGCGUGGGUGAAGAAGGCCUUCGGGUUGUAAAGCCCUUUUGUUGGGAAAGAAAAGCAGCAGGUUAAUACCCCGCUGUUCUGACGGUGCCCAAAGAAUAAGCACCGGCUAACUUCGUG
rnacentral:rRNA from 1 species